rnacentral:rRNA from 1 species
GAUGAACGCUGGCGGCGUGCCUAACACACGCAAGUCGAACGAAGCACCUUACCGGAUUCUUCGGAUGAAAGUUUGGUGACUGAGUGGCGGACGGGUGAGUAACGCGUGGGUAACCUGCCCUGUACAGGGGGAUAACAGCUGGAAACGGCUGCUAAUACCGCAUAAGCGCACGAGGAGACAUCUCCUAGUGUGAAAAACUCCGGUGGUACAGGAUGGGCCCGCGUCUGAUUAGCUGGUUGGCAGGGUAACGGCCUACCAAGGCAACGAUCAGUAGCCGGUCUGAGAGGAUGAACGGCCACAUUGGAACUGAGACACGGUCCAAACUCCUACGGGAGGCAGCAGUGGGGAAUAUUGCACAAUGGGGGAAACCCUGAUGCAGCAACGCCGCGUGAGUGAAGAAGUAUUUCGGUAUGUAAAGCUCUAUCAGCAGGGAAGAUAAUGACGGUACCUGACUAAGAAGCUCCGGCUAAAUACGUGCCAGCAGCCGCGGUAAUACGUAUGGAGCAAGCGUUAUCCGGAUUUACUGGGUGUAAAGGGUGCGUAGGUGGCAGUGCAAGUCAGAUGUGAAAGGCCGGGGCUCAACCCCGGAGCUGCAUUUGAAACUGCUCGGCUAGAGUACAGGAGAGGCAGGCGGAAUUCCUAGUGUAGCGGUGAAAUGCGU